rnacentral:misc_RNA from 1 species
AGCAGCCGCGGUAAUUCCAGCUCCAAUAGCGUAUAUUAAAGUUGUUGCAGUUAAAAAGCUCGUAGUUGAAUUUCGGGAUCAAUACGUCGGUCGUGCUUAGGUACGUACUGGCGUAAUUGAUUUCUCCCUUCUGACGAACCAUGAUGUCAUUAACUUGGUGUCAUGGGAAAUCAGGACUGUUACUUUGAAAAAUUAGAGUGUUUAAAGCAGGCUCACGCUUGAAUACAUUAGCAUGGAAUAAUGAAAUAGGACGUUCGAUCCUAUUUUGUUGGUUUUUAGGAUCAACGUAAUGAUUAAUAGGGAUAGUUGGGGGCAUUAGUAUUCAAUUGUCAGAGGUGAAAUUCUUGGAUUUAUUGAAGACUAACUACUGCGAAAGCAUUUGCCAAGGAUGUUUUCAUUAAUCAAGAACGAAAGUUAGGGGAUCGAAGACGAUCAGAUACCGUCGUAGUCUUAACCAUAAACUAUGCCGACUAGGGAUCGGAUGAUGUUAAUUUUUUAAUGUACUCAUUCGGCGCCUUAA